UUAUUUAUGACUGUAGGUUCAGUUUCUGGGAGAGUAUCUGUACUUUUCUUGUCAUCGUCAGAACCAUCAUCAUCAGAUCCAUCAUUAUCAGAUCCUUCAUCAUCUGGUUCCUCAUCAUCUUGACUGCCCUUCAAUCAAAGGGCCAAUUUUACAUUCAACUAUACAGAAGUGGCCCAAGGCAAGUGUAUGAGCCCAGUGGGAAUAGAUGAUAAUGAAUGCAAAUAAACAAUUAGAUUGGAGAUUUCCUACCAUGGAAGGCAUUUUAGGUAGCUUUGCUUGUGAGCAUUGUAGUGAGAAUUCCUCAUCUGAAGAGCCAGCCUUGAAGAACACAAAAACAAAUUUAAUUGCAAGUUGCUUCAAAGAUAACCAUCACAAUUUAGGUACUGUAUUGUAUUUUAGUUCUUCACAGUAGACAAAGUAGUAAA